rnacentral:rRNA from 1 species
AUUGAACGCUGGCGGCAUGCCUAACACAUGCAAGUCGAACGAGACCUUCGGGUCUAGUGGCGCACGGGUGCGUAACGCGUGGGAAUCUGCCCUUGGGUUCGGAAUAACAGCGAGAAAUUGCUGCUAAUACCGGAUGAUGACGUAAGUCCAAAGAUUUAUCGCCCAAGGAUGAGCCCGCGUAGGAUUAGCUAGUUGGUGAGGUAAAGGCUCACCAAGGCGACGAUCCUUAGCUGGUCUGAGAGGAUGAUCAGCCACACUGGGACUGAGACACGGCCCAGACUCCUACGGGAGGCAGCAGUGGGGAAUAUUGGACAAUGGGCGAAAGCCUGAUCCAGCAAUGCCGCGUGAGUGAUGAAGGCCUUAGGGUUGUAAAGACUCUUUUACCCGGGAUGAUAAUGACAGU